GCUUCCUGGCAAACCUGGCGUUAGAGCGGCAGCUCUGCGGGGGAAGAUCCGGGCUCCAGGAGGCACUGGGAGGCUGUUCCAGCAGGAAUUCGGCAUGGAAUUGCGGGCUGUGAAUUGUGCACAAGCCAGUCCCCCAUUCCCUAUCCAGGCUGGGAGUGCUCGUGCCCUUGGCACAGAUGGCUCUGGCUGGGCAGGAACUGAGAGCAGGACAUGGGGCAGAGUGGAUCAGCUGCCCAGGGAACCUCCAGCAGAUGAAGCUACGGGAUCCUCAUUCCAAUCAAGGGAACACAUUCUGUCUCUGGCAGAAGCCGGGAGCCAAAGCAGAUCCCGCCUGGCCAGGCUGGGGGGCAGCAGUUGGAUCCACUCUGGGGGAAAGCCCCUGUGCCUGCCAGGAGCUCUGACUCUGUUUGUCCUGCCAGCUCCUGACCAGUGUCAGGGCCACUGGGAGGGAUUCAGAAUCCAAAGAAAUCCCAAAUCCUACUGAGGGACUCAAUCAAAGGAAGAAAGUAAUUUUUGUCAUAAAAAGCUUAAAAAAACUGUUAAAAAUUCUAGGACAG